UACCUGGAAUUAAUUUUACUCCACUGCCCUGAUUUAAAAAAUUUCUAUUAUAUCUUAUAGUCGGUUAUGAAUUCUCUGACUUGUGAUGUGUAUCUUGUGUGCUCAAAGAGACGUACCAUCAUUUCAACUAACUUUCCUUUACACAGGUAUUCCUUAAUGCAACCUCUGGAAACCACAUGUGCUUGGACACUGCGGGAAAAGAGCACUAUGCAAACCUCUGUUUAGGUUGUUUGGAGUGGCUUAAAGCAGACAGCCUCUUCAUCAAAGCUGAUUCAUGCUUAAAAGAUAGAACCCCUCACUGUUUCUGAGCUUAACCAAUAUGUCCUCACAGCUGAUCCUCAGGUGAUAGAAAGAGUUAUAUAAAAUAUAACUUCCUACCUCUAGGAGUUGCACAGUCGAAUGUCCACUCUGCUGCUACUUAAUAUUUUUUGUAAAAGUUUUUGUGAAUUGUAUAGAGUCUUGCAUCUUAUUUAUUUCCUUUUGUUUUUAGGUUCUUCUACUUAUCUUUUCCUCGGCCUCACUACGAAAACUAUAGCCUUGACAGUUGUAAAUAAUAUUUGCCUUUCAUGCA